CAAGCUUCCUUUCAGACUGCAUGCAGUCUGUAAAUCCACUAUAUGGUUCAUUAUGUGGCAAUCCAUUUGAUGACGGAACAAUUAGUGGUGAUUCAUCAGCAUGUUAAGUGACAGCAAUCAAGGUUCAGAUAGUGAUAGCUCUGGCAGUAGUGAUGAAGAAUUCAGGUCUGACAGUGAUUCCCCUAGUUGUGACAGUGC